CUUCUUGUAAAUAACUUCUUGCUUUACCCAUUUAGCAGAACGAUCGUGAUCCUCGCUUGAGAGAGAGAGCAGUUGCCAGAAAUUCUCUACUAGACCAAUGUAGUAAAAUCCUUCCUACAGUUCAAAGGAAGCUGGCUGUAGAGAGAACCAAGCCUUACCGUGUGCCUUCAUCGGUCUUAAGAGAAGUCCCAAGGCCAAAGGCAUUAUCAGCAGUAACACGACAGGCUAAUGCAGGAAAUGUGCACACACGAGCAGCUUUCAUCGGUAAAGUAUUGUCCAAAUUUAGAGAAGUAUGGUUGGGAAAUGAGCAGAAAACAAGUAUCUCACAAUAUUACAGAUUGCUGGAUUUGGUGGUUCGUCCUGUUCCUUCCUGUUCUGUGGCACAGGAUGAAAGCUGGCAGACACCGUGCAGAGCUUCUACUUCUUUUGUGGUAUCCAGCCCACUGAAAUCAAAGACACAUCGCUCUAUCUCACAAAAGAAUUCUCCAGGAGCAUCAAAGCUGAAUUUACUGGAGACUCCUCCUGUGGCUAAGGUUAUUGAAGACAGUGCAGUGAAGGCAUAAAAGCUUAAGAAGCAGCACCUAAACCACCAUUAUAUGGUGAACUACAUCCAUAAGGCAAUCUUCAAUACAGCUAUGAUACUAUAAAGCAUCAGUUUUUAUGUGGUUUGCCUGAUAAUAAAAAUGGUGAAUGUGA